UGGGCCUAUAGGGGUUACACAUUUCCUCAUGUUGUCGAAAACUCCAACUGCGCCAUACCUUAGGGGUGCAGAUCCUGAUUGACAAGGAAUAACAGAAACAGAUAUAACAACAGUGAGACCAAAUGGGAGAUCCAAUGAAAAAAAAACAGUAAUGGAUAAACCGAGGCCUAUAGAUUUCAACUGCCUCACAACCGCCGCCAGAGAGGUCAGAUUGUCCAGAGCGCUGCCUUUUCCUCCGCCAACACCGCUGUGUCAGAUGUUAAGCUGCGGCUCCAGGAGGACCACAGCAAUGGCUUCAAUCCCAUCCUCCACUUUUGCUUCUGGAUCGACUUGGGGAAAGAACGGAGGAGAGCACAAGCAUUAUGAAUUUAUUUGCUAUAGAGUUUGUCAGGGAGAAAGUUCACGAACGAAAGAAAUCUAAUUGAGAGGGCUGGAUGAAAAGAAACACCCGUCAGAGCUUUCAACAACUCGAAGGGAGUACAUACUUUGUAUGCCAUGGAUACAGAAUGGAUACGUAAUUAGAUCAAUUGAUGGGUGCCGCUGUUUUGGAUAUCUACAUCCAGCAAUACCUGUUCGAAGCUUGAAUCUCACCGAGCUUCAGUUACUGUUUCAAAGGGUGAAAAAGAGUGGGGGACACGGGAAGAGGGGAGAAAGAGGACAAAAGAAUGGUUUGUUCUACUUUCAAUGCUUUGGGUUAAAAAAAGAAAAAAGAGCAUGUGGUGUGGAAACACACCAGCUAAGCCUCACUUUUGAUGUCGAACUCGAGUGUGGCUCUAAUCUAGCCCCCGAAAUUCCAACAUAGCAUGUAGCAAUGCAUUAUGUUUUCCUGUGUGAUCUUCAUACAAAGGUGCAAGACAUAUGAGCUUCUAAUCAAGAAAGACCUGCUUUUAAAUCCCACUGUGUGUUCUAAGUGCUGGAUGGGUUGUGCUUUUACCAACCCUAAUAAAAUUAUAUUUGAAUCA